GACCAGCCCUCGAGGCCUGGAGUAGCCCACCCCUGGCCUAGCGCAGUGUGUGUCAAAGUGAAAAGCAAGAAGCUAGUUUCCUGAAUAUUUAAUUCUCUAAUGUCACCACCAGAUGGCAGUGCUCUUCCAAUAGUGGUGCCUACUGAACAGUAGGACGGCCAACUACGUCACCGUGCAGCUCAAAUGAUGAGAUCAAUUAGAUUUCACUUAGGAUAUGAGCCUUUUUACGAUAAAUUAUCAUAAUUCAUGAAAAUACUUUGCUACAAUGAAAAAGAAACGGAACAUGGGUAUAACACGUCUCUGUACAUUCCAAACCGCUAGGUGGCCGUAGCGGCAAAAUGUGAGUAAGUUAGAGUUGCAUUGGGUGGCGACACCUUUUUGGUUGGUUCGCUGCUAACAGCCAUUAAUCCACAGUAGAAGAAGAGGAAGGCGGAAAACGAUGCAAUGGCCAACGUGCAGCUGCAGCGUGUUGGAGGAGUCCUAAAGUUUUUCUUUCCACCUGGAAUAUGUUAAUCAAGAGGAGCUGAUUUUCAUUCUUACAGAAUUCGCCUGGUUUGCAGAAUACAGAGUUGGAGAUGAGAUAUUUGUCAUUGGAUGGUAUUGACACAGCUACUACCCCUUACAAAGAUUGACCAGUUGUCUUUUGUUUUUCUUCUUAAAUUUGUCUUUUGUUUUUCUUCUUAAAUUAACAAAUAAAUUUGGAAGUAGA